UACGUAGGGCGCAAGCGUUGUCCGGAAUUAUUGGGCGUAAAGAGCUCGUAGGCGGCCAUACAGGUCAGCUGUGAAAACUCGAGGCUCAACCUCGAGACGUCGGUUGAAACCGUAUGGCUAGAGUCCGGAAGAGGAGAGUGGAAUUCCCGGUGUAGCGGUGAAAUGCGCAGAUAUCGGGAAGAACACCCGUGGCGAAGGCGGCUCUCUGGGACGGUACUGACGCUGAGACGCGAAAGCGUGGGGAGCGAACAGG
rnacentral:rRNA from 1 species